rnacentral:rRNA from 1 species
AGAGUUUGAUCCUGGCUCAGAAUCAACGCUGGCGGCGUGCCUCAGACAUGCAAGUCGAACGCGAAAGCCCCCUUCGGGGGGCAAGUAGAGUGGCGCACGGGUGAGUAACACGUAGGUAAUCUACCUUUGGAUGGGGAAUAACCACCGGAAACGGUGGCUAAUACCGCAUAAUGCAGCGGCACCUAAUGGUGACAGUUGUUAAAGCGGGGGAUCGUAAGACCUCGCGUCUGGAGAGGAGCCUGCGGCAGAUUAGCUAGUUGGUAAGGUAACGGCUUACCAAGGCGAUGAUCUGUAGCCGGCCUGAGAGGGCGGUCGGCCACACUGACACUGACAUACGGGUCAGACUCCUACGGGAGGCAGCAGUCGGGAAUUUUGGGCAAUGGGCGCAAGCCUGACCCAGCAACGCCGCGUGAAGGAUGAAAUCCCUCGGGAUGUAAACUUCGCAAGAACGGGAAGAAUAAGUAAGAGUUAAUAUCUCUUAUGAUGACGGUACUGUUUGUAAGCUCCGGCUAACUCCGUGCCAGCAGCCGCGGUAAUACA